rnacentral:rRNA from 1 species
UACGUAGGGCGCAAGCGUUGUCCGGAAUUAUUGGGCGUAAAGAGCUCGUAGGCGGUCUGUCGCGUCUGCCGUGAAAACCCGAGGCUUAACCUCGUGGCUUGGGGUGGAUACGGGCAGACUAGAGGUAGGUAGGGGAGAAUGGAAUUCCCGGUGUAGCGGUGAAAUGCGCAGAUAUCGGGAGGAACACCGGUGGCGAAGGCGGUUCUCUGGGCCUUACCUGACGCUGAGGAGCGAAAGCGUGGGGAGCGAACAGG